rnacentral:rRNA from 1 species
GCUAUGACCAUGAUUACGCCAAGCUAUUUAGGUGACACUAUAGAAUACUCAAGCUAUGCAUCCAACGCGUUGGGAGCUCUCCCAUAUGGUCGACCUGCAGGCGGCCGCACUAGUGAUUGUAGUCAUAUGCUUGUCUCAAAGAUUAAGCCAUGCAUGUCUAAGUAUAAGCAAUUAUACCGUGAAACUGCGAAUGGCUCAUUAAAUCAGUUAUCGUUUAUUUGAUAAUACCUUACUACUUGGAUAACCGUGGUAAUUCUAGAGCUAAUACAUGCUGAAAAUCCCGACUUCGGAAGGGAUGUGUUUAUUAGAUAAAAAACCAAUGCCCUUCGGGGCUCUUUGGUGAUUCAUGAUAACUUUACGGAUCGCAUAGCCUUGCGCUGGCGACGGUUCAUUCAAAUUUCUGCCCUAUCAACUUUCGAUGGUAAGGUAUUGGCUUACCAUGGUUUCAACGGGUAACGGGGAAUUAGGGUUCGAUUCCGGAGAGGGAGCCUGAGAAACGGCUACCACAUCCAAGGAAGGCAGCAGGCGCGCAAAUUACCCAAUCCCGACACGGGGAGGUAGUGACAAUAAAUACUGAUACAGGACUCUUUUGGGU